GCAGCAACGCCGCGUGAGGGAUGACGGCCUUCGGGUUGUAAACCUCUUUUAGCAGGGAAGAAGCGAAAGUGACGGUACCUGCAGAAAAAGCGCCGGCUAACUACGUGCCAGCAGCCGCGGUAAUACGUAGGGCGCAAGCGUUAUCCGGAAUUAUUGGGCGUAAAGAGCUCGUAGGCGGUUUGUCGCGUCUGCUGUGAAAUCCCGAGGCUCAACCUCGGGCCUGCAGUGGGUACGGGCAGACUAGAGUGCGGUAGGGGAGAUUGGAAUUCCUGGUGUAGCGGUGGAAUGCGCAGAUAUCAGGAGGAACACCGAUGGCGAAGGCAGAUCUCUGGGCCGUAACUGACGCUGAGGAGCGAAAGGGUGGGGAGCAAACAGGCUUAGAUACCCUGGUAGUCCACCCCGUAAACGUUGGGAACUAGUUGUGGGGUCCAUUCCACGGAUUCCGUGACGCAGCUAACGCAUUAAGUUCCCCGCCUGG
rnacentral:rRNA from 1 species